CGCUAGACCGCAAGGCGCUGAUGAAAAUGUUUGGCAUUGCGCCACCAACCCAGGCCACCAUAAGUAUGCCACGCAUUCCAAGUGGCGUCCUGGUAACAAAACCCUUGCCGGGCAGUGCUGGGGAGCCCUCGCCCCAAUCACGCUCUCCAAGAUAGCAAACCCCGAACCCAAUUCCCCAACUACUUAGGAAUUUCGUAUAACGGAACUUUACAUCACCGUCGUCCGAGUCCUACCCUUCCUUGUGCCCCAAGGGAUGAGCACCCUCCAAGGGCCAAAGGGGGAUAUCCUGCGCAACUGCACAGGGGAGAGGGGGCGCAGCCCCCAAAGAGGAAGAGGACCCACCCCCCCAAUUGUCGCGACAGGAAGGUACCACACUGAGCGCGGCUGACCGUUC